rnacentral:rRNA from 1 species
GAUGAACGCUAGCUACGGGCUUAACACAUGCAAGUCGAGGGGCAGCACAGUGUAGCAAUACACGGGUGGCGACCGGCGCACGGGUGCGUAACGCGUAUCCAACCUUCCCGUUACUCUUGGAUAGCCUUCCGAAAGGGAGAUUAAUACAAGAUGGUAUUCAAAUUCCGCAUGUUAUUUGAAUUAAAGAUUUAUCGGUAACGGAUGGGGAUGCGUGACAUUAGAUAGUAGGCGGGGUAACGGCCCACCUAGUCUACGAUGUCUAGGGGUUCUGAGAGGAAGGCCCAACACAAUGGAACUGAGACACGUUCCAGACUCCGACGGGAGGAUGCAGUGAGGAAUAUUAGUAGAUGGUCGGAAGACUGAACCAGCCAAGUAGCGUGAAGGAUGAAGGUUCUAGGGAUUGUAAACUUCUUUUAUACGGGAAUAAAACCUCCCACGUGUGGGAGCUUGUAUGUACCGUAUGAAUAAGCAUCGGCUAACUCCGUGCCAGCAGCCGCCGUAAAAC